rnacentral:rRNA from 1 species
GGGUUGUGAGGUUAAGCGACUAAGCGUACACGGUGGAUGCCCUGGCAGUCAGAGGCGAUGAAGGGCGUGCUAAUCUGCGAUAAGCGCCGGUAAGGUGAUAUGAACCGUUAUAACCGGCGAUACCCGAAUGGGGAAACCCAGUGUGAUUCGUCACACUAUCAUUAACUGAAUCCAUAGGUUAAUGAGGCGAACCGGGGGAACUGAAACAUCUAAGUACCCCGAGGAAAAGAAAUCAACCGAGAUUCCCCCAGUAGCGGCGAGCGAACGGGGAGGAGCCCAGAGCCUGAAUCAGCAUGUGUGUUAGUGGAAGCGUCUGGAAAGGCGCGCGAUACAGGGUGACAGCCCCGUACACAAAAGCGCAUGUGCUGUGAGCUCGAUGAGUAGGGCGGGACACGUGGUAUCCUGUCUGAAUAUGGGGGGACCAUCCUCCAAGGCUAAAUACUCCUGACUGACCGAUAGUGAACCAGUACCGUGAGGGAAAGGCGAAAAGAACCCCGGCGAGGGGAGUGAAAAAGAACCUGAAACCGUGUACGUACAAGCAGUGGGAGCCCCACCACUAAGCCAGUGGUGAACUCCACAUACGCAUCCUUUGCUGAGGAUACGGUUAACGGAGCGAAAGCGACGUUCAACCGCAAAAGAAGCAGAGGGGGCUUAGUGGUGGGGUGACUGCGUACCUUUUGUAUAAUGGGUCAGCGACUUAUAUUCUGUAGCAAGGUUAACCGAAUAGGGGAGCCGGAGGGAAACCGAGUCUUAAUUGGGCGUUAAGUUGCAGGGUAUAGACCCGAAACCCGGUGAUCUAGCCAUGGGCAGGUUGAAGGUUGGGUAACACUAACUGGAGGACCGAACCGACUAAUGUUGAAAAAUUAGCGGAUGACCUGUGGCUGGGGGUGAAAGGCCAAUCAAACCGGGAGAUAGCUGGUUCUCCCCGAAAGCUAUUUAGGUAGCGCCUCGUGAAUUCAUCUCCGGGGGUAGAGCACUGUUUCGGCUAGGGGGCCAUCCCGGCUUACCAACCCGAUGCAAACUGCGAAUACCGGAGAAUGUUAUCACGGGAGACACACGGCGGGUGCUAACGUCCGUCGUGAAGAGGGAAACAACCCAGACCGCCAGCUAAGGUCCCAAAGUCAUGGUUAAGUGGGAAACGAUGUGGGAAGGCCCAGACAGCCAGGAUGUUGGCUUAGAAGCAGCCAUCAUUUAAAGAAAGCGUAAUAGCUCACUGGUCGAGUCGGCCUGCGCGGAAGAUGUAACGGGGCUAAACCAUGCACCGAAGCUGCGGCAGCGACACUCAGGUGUUGUUGGGUAGGGGAGCGUUCUGUAAGCCUGUGAAGGUGUGUCGUGAGGCAUGCUGGAGGUAUCAGAAGUGCGAAUGCUGACAUAAGUAACGAUAAAGCGGGUGAAAAGCCCGCUCGCCGGAAGACCAAGGGUUCCUGUCCAACGUUAAUCGGGGCAGGGUGAGUCGACCCCUAAGGCGAGGCCGAAAGGCGUAGUCGAUGGGAAACGGGUUAAUAUUCCCGUACUUGGUGUUACUGCGAAGGGGGGACGGAGAAGGCUAUGUUGGCCGGGCGACGGUUGUCCCGGUUUAAGCGUGUAGGUGUGUGUUCCAGGUAAAUCCGGUUCACUUUAACACUGAGGCGUGACGACGAGGCACUACGGUGCUGAAGCAACAAAUGCCCUGCUUCCAGGAAAAGCCUCUAAGCAUCAGGUAACAUCAAAUCGUACCCCAAACCGACACAGGUGGUCAGGUAGAGAAUACCAAGGCGCUUGAGAGAACUCGGGUGAAGGAACUAGGCAAAAUGGUGCCGUAACUUCGGGAGAAGGCACGCUGACACGUAGGUGAAGUGAUUUACUCAUGGAGCUGAAGUCAGUCGAAGAUACCAGCUGGCUGCAACUGUUUAUUAAAAACACAGCACUGUGCAAACACGAAAGUGGACGUAUACGGUGUGACGCCUGCCCGGUGCCGGAAGGUUAAUUGAUGGGGUCAGCGCAAGCGAAGCUCCUGAUCGAAGCCCCGGUAAACGGCGGCCGUAACUAUAACGGUCCUAAGGUAGCGAAAUUCCUUGUCGGGUAAGUUCCGACCUGCACGAAUGGCGUAAUGAUGGCCAGGCUGUCUCCACCCGAGACUCAGUGAAAUUGAACUCGCUGUGAAGAUGCAGUGUACCCGCGGCAAGACGGAAAGACCCCGUGAACCUUUACUAUAGCUUGACACUGAACAUUGAGCCUUGAUGUGUAGGAUAGGUGGGAGGCUUUGAAGUGUGGACGCCAGUCUGCAUGGAGCCGACCUUGAAAUACCACCCUUUAAUGUUUGAUGUUCUAACGUGGACCCGUGAUCCGGGUUGCGGACAGUGUCUGGUGGGUAGUUUGACUGGGGCGGUCUCCUCCUAAAGAGUAACGGAGGAGCACGAAGGUUGGCUAAUCCUGGUCGGACAUCAGGAGGUUAGUGCAAUGGCAUAAGCCAGCUUGACUGCGAGCGUGACGGCGCGAGCAGGUGCGAAAGCAGGUCAUAGUGAUCCGGUGGUUCUGAAUGGAAGGGCCAUCGCUCAACGGAUAAAAGGUACUCCGGGGAUAACAGGCUGAUACCGCCCAAGAGUUCAUAUCGACGGCGGUGUUUGGCACCUCGAUGUCGGCUCAUCACAUCCUGGGGCUGAAGUAGGUCCCAAGGGUAUGGCUGUUCGCCAUUUAAAGUGGUACGCGAGCUGGGUUUAGAACGUCGUGAGACAGUUCGGUCCCUAUCUGCCGUGGGCGCUGGAGAACUGAGGGGGGCUGCUCCUAGUACGAGAGGACCGGAGUGGACGCAUCACUGGUGUUCGGGUUGUCAUGCCAAUGGCACUGCCCGGUAGCUAAAUGCGGAAGAGAUAAGUGCUGAAAGCAUCUAAGCACGAAACUUGCCCCGAGAUGAGUUCUCCCUGAGACUUAGAGUCUCCUGAAGGAACGUUGAAGACGACGACGUUGAUAGGCCGGGUGUGUAAGCGCAGCGAUGCGUUGAGCUAACCGGUACUAAUGAACCGUGAGGCUUAACCUUACAACGCCGAAG